UACGGAGGGGGCUAGCGUUGUUCGGAAUUACUGGGCGUAAAGCGCGCGUAGGCGGCUUUGUAAGUCAGAGGUGAAAGCCUGGAGCUCAACUCCAGAACUGCCUUUGAAACUACAUCGCUAGAAUCAUGGAGAGGUUAGUGGAAUUCCGAGUGUAGAGGUGAAAUUCGUAGAUAUUAGGAAGAACACCAGUGGCGAAGGCGGCUCACUGGUCCGGUACUGACGCUGAGGUGCGAAAGCGUGGGGAGCAAACAGG
rnacentral:rRNA from 1 species